UACGAAGGGGGCUAGCGUUGCUCGGAAUUACUGGGCGUAAAGCGCACGUAGGCGGAUUGUUAAGUCGGGGGUGAAAUCCUGGAGCUCAACUCCAGAACUGCCUUCGAUACUGGCGAUCUCGAGUUCGGGAGAGGUGAGUGGAACUGCGAGUGUAGAGGUGAAAUUCGUAAGAUAUUCGCAAGAACACCAGUGGCGAAGGCGGCUCACUGGCCCGAUACUGACGCUGAGGUGCGAAAGCGUGGGAGCAACAGGGGAUUAAGAAACCCGUGCCCAGGAACCGAAGUCUCUC
rnacentral:rRNA from 1 species